CGAGCGGAAAGGCCCCUUCGGGGGUACUCGAGCGGCGAACGGGUGAGUAACACGUGAGCAACCUGCCCCUGACUCUGGGAUAAGCCUGGGAAACUGGGUCUAAUACCGGAUAUGACGCAUUCUCGCAUGGGAUGUGUGUGGAAAGUUUUUCGGUUGGGGAUGGGCUCGCGGCCUAUCAGCUUGUUGGUGGGGUGAUGGCCUACCAAGGCGACGACGGGUAACCGGCCUGAGAGGGCGACCGGUCACACUGGGACUGAGACACGGCCCAGACUCCUACGGGAGGCAGCAGUGGGGAAUAUUGCGCAAUGGGCGGAAGCCUGACGCAGCGACGCCGCGUGGGGGAUGACGGCCUUCGGGUUGUAAACCUCUUUCAGCAGGGACGAAGCUAACGUGACGGUACCUGCAGAAGAAGCGCCGGCUAACUACGUGCCAGCAGCG
rnacentral:rRNA from 1 species